rnacentral:rRNA from 1 species
CACCUUUGACAUGUACGGAAUUCGCCAGAGAUGGCUUAGUGCUCGAAAGAGAGCCGUAACACAGGUGCUGCAUGGCUGUCGUCAGCUCGUGUCGUGAGAUGUUGGGUUAAGUCCCGCAACGAGCGCAACCCUUGUCAUUAGUUGCUACAUUCAGUUGGGCACUCUAAUGAGACUGCCGGUGACAAACCGGAGGAAGGUGGGGAUGACGUCAAGUCCUCAUGGCCCUUAG